UAGAACUGGCAUGUCUAUGGUUGUGUGCAUUCCAAAUGGCACCCGUUUCCUAACGUAGUGCACUACUUUUGACCAGGACCCACAGGACUCUGGUCAAAAGGAGUGCACUAUGUAGGGAAUAGGGUGCCAUUUGGGAUAUAACAUAGACAUCACAGAUCUGAUUCCUGCUAAAGGUAUCAGGUUUUCCUCUAAUCUUUUCUCUCUUUGUUUUCUUUGACUCCUUCAAACUCCGGCCAUGAGGGCCACUGGCUGUUCUGACAAACAACAAACACUGGCAUUGUGUCUUGGUUUGGAAAGUUUCAAGUUCAAGUAUGCUUCCUUGCAGUUAUAUUAGUAGACAUCGGUCAACUAUGGCAGCCACAGGCAUGAAAGAUUAUGGCAGAACAUUUUAUUGCUUUCGGUUGCUCUUAACGCAUGGCCCUACUUUGACCUGUGGCUGUGACAUUUUUUAAAAGAUGCAGUUGUUCCUGUCUAUGUUUUCAAAGAGAACUUCCUUUUGGAGAGAUGUCCCAUGUGACCGGCUAUGUGAUGCAAUGUAGGUGAAGUUCUGUAGACUACCUAGUAGCAAGUCAGAUUUCACCACCAUUUCAUGAAAAAUAAUGUGUGGUACUCCCAACCUAUUGUACCCUAUCCAUUGCAGGUUACACUGCACUAGAUUAUCUCUGCCUGUAUCAAAGGCAAUCAUCUGGAACUAGCCAGCCAUUUUGUUUUCCCCCCUAAAGUUGAUCAGACUGAGUGAGGACAUUUGCCCCAUCUCAAUGAAGACAUUUCUGAUGGACAAACUGAUGUUUUUGCAACAGACAAGAAUAACAUUUCAGCAUUAUGCCCACAACCAAAGCAUGUAUUUCAGUGGUCCAAACUCUACGUUUCCUUACUGUAGCCUAAUUCACAAUCAUGCCUCCGAGUCCGAGAUCAGAUGGCUACGACUGUGUGAAUUCUCUGCUUUGCCUAAUGUUCAGAGUUUUAAUCAUCUGCAACCGCAUGCCUGGAGUGGUGUGUUAGCAACGCGCUUGGAAAAUCACCGCCUCAGGCAAAGUAAAGUGGUUUGGUAAAUCUCCUGCUGUCUGGUUCUGCUGUUCCAACAUGACCUCAGGCCUCUGAAGACCUUUCUGUUAUUCAUCCUCCUGCUCUCUCUGUACCAAUCUCCUGU
rnacentral:lncRNA from 1 species